UAGAAAAACCACUCAGCCGUUGACUACAUGGGCGAUAUGAUGUGUCGCGCGCCCGCCACCGCUCGGAGCACGACGACGCCUCGCAUCCCACUCCUCCCCUACGUCUUCCUCGGCCUCGCCUCCACCGUCAUGUCACAGGAGGCGGACGCGGAGGAGGAGUGGGCAGCGGUGGAGCGGCGAGGCGCUCACCUGGUAACGGGGGCGGCAGAGCGCCCCUUCAUCAUCCACGGGUUUAACACCUACUGGCUCAUGUCCUUCGCCGCCGACGAGGCCACGCGGCCGCGCGUGACCGCGGCUAUAGCCGAGGCUGCCGGGGCUGGGCUCAACGUGUGCCGCACCUGGGCGUUCGCUGACGGGGGAUACCACGCGCUGCAGACCGCGCCAUUCUGCUACGACGAGGAGGUGUUCCAGGCACUGGAUUUCGUGGUGAGCGAGGCAAGAAGGUAUAAGAUGCGGUUAAUACUGUCACUAUGUAAUAACUGGGAAGAUUAUGGAGGGAAGGCACAGUAUGUAAGAUGGGGCAAGGAGGCUGGCGUAGAUCUUACUUCUGACGAUGACUUCUUUUCUGAUCCAACACUUAAAGGGUACUAUAAAGCUUUUGUUGAGGCUGUUUUGUCAAGAAUAAACACAAUCACAAAUGAGGCCUACAAAGAAGAUCCUACUAUCCUUGCCUGGGAGCUGAUUAACGAGCCGCGUUGCCCUUCAGAUCCAUCAGGCGAUACGCUGCAGGCAUGGAUAGAAGAGAUGGCAUCUUACGUGAAGUCUAUAGAUACAGUGCACCUCGUGGAGAUUGGUAUUGAAGGAUAUUAUGGUCCGUCUACCCCAGAACUCUUGCUCGUCAACCCAGAUGAUUAUUCAGGGCAUGUUGGAACGGACUUUAUCAGGAACCAUCAAACACUGGGAAUUGAUUUAGCUUCAGUUCAUAUUUAUUCAGACACUUGGUUGCCUGACUCAACAGAGGAAAGACACGUUCAGUUUGUGAACACUUGGAUGCAACAACAUAUUGAUGAUGCAGCAAACUUGCUGGCCAUGCCCAUUGUGAUCGGGGAGUUCGGAUUAUCACUGAAGGACGGCAAGUUUGAAAACGAGUUCCGCGAAACUUUCAUGCAGACAGUGUACAAUAAUUUCUUGGGCUCUUGGGAGAGUGGAAUGAUUGGAGGAGGCUGCCUUCUAUGGCAGCUCUUCCCUGAAGGUGCAGAACACAUGGACGAUGGUUAUGCAGUUAUUUUUGCAAAAUCACCAUCCACAUUCAACCUACUUGCAAAUCACUCAAGGAAGCUAGAAUGUUGAGAGCAUGCUGCUUCCCCUUCCCCUGCUACGGCUCCGUUCGGUAUACAGGAAUGUCGCAGGAACUUUUAAAGGACUAGUUUCCGUAGGAACUUUUAAAGGAUCAGUUCGGUAUACAUGGUUUUUGAAGUCAGGAAUUUUACUGUAAAGUUGAAUGCCUUAUGUAUAUCAUGUACCCUAAUAGCUGGUCUCUGGUUCAAAAGAACGUGAUACCAUGAAAAAAAGAUUUGCAUCUUGGAGAUUUGACUAUUAGAUUAAAAAUUGGUUCUGGUGCAGCAAAGAAGAUGCUGUGAUCUGUGUCAAUGACCGAAAGCACACCCGUUGGCUUGCACACUGCAAUUACAGAAUAUGUUGGGUUCAAUUUAAGUUCCUGACAUCUCCUCUGUACCUGGACCUGGUAGAACCAAACUACUGAUAGCAUUAACAUUUAACAUCGAAGCACGCAUUGAUUCCUAGAGAAAACUAUUAUGUAUAAGUACAAUCACGCAUUAUUAUUUACCGUUUCAUUGAAGUCUGCUUUUUAGUGUUGA